UUCACUUUCAAUAUUAUUAUAUACCCUUUCCUACAUUUCUCUAUCAUUCCAUUUUCCUCUUCUCCAGGUUGGUCUCAAUCUCUCCUUUCCCAUGUAUCAGCUCUAAUCUAUAAUUUUAUGUUUGUGAAUUACUAAAAAAAACCUUUUUAAAACUGUUUAAAAUUGUUUCUGCCAGAAAGACUACGCAGGAUUUUUCUUGUUGAUUGAUUCCCAUAAUUUUAAUAAAAGCAACAAAAUGCAACAAUCCUAUGAUAAUACAUAUUAACAACUCAAUGAAUAAAUUUAUACUUUAUCAUGCAUGUCAAAAACACUUACAAUUGUUGAACUGAAAUAGUUUGUUGACUGUAGUGUUUGCAACAAUCAAUAUAAUUAAAUUGCAUCAAAUGUGGACAUGUUUCUGUCUGUACUGAUGGGUAUAGAUCUACCAUCGACUGCUGCACACUAUUGCUACGGUUCUCUCGCAAAAAUUAUUCAAAUUGUUCAUUAACAAAAUUUGCCGCUUACUCGGCAGUUUCUGUCGUGGAAUUGCCAUUGACCUUGUGUGGUUGAUGUUUGUGUCGCAUGGUGCCCAUAAAAUAUGGAGCGGUUAAAAGAUAAUCAAUAGUUCAACAAGCCGAAUAUCUUAUCCUCAACUCACAGGUUAGUGGAAUAGCUUUCUUUAACACCAGUAGACUACUACAGAAGGUACAGUGCUUUUGCGAUGUGGUUUUCCUUUUGAUGGUGGAUAAUUUCUGAUACAUUUUGUCUGCAUUUACUUACUUGGAAGCUGUCAUGUAGAGGAACAUUAAUUCACGAAACUGGAUCUUGAGUAUAAAAAUAUCAAGGAUUUCUACACAGACACAGAAUUCUAAGUUAAGCCGUCUUCUGAGCAAGAGAUAAUUCAGGUGCUAUGGGUUUGUAACAUUUGUCGUAAGAAGCAAACGUUGCUAACAAAAACUGGUCAGUGGUUUCAAACUCCACCAACAAAAACGCCACCGUUAGAG